GAUGAAGAACGUAGCGAAAUGCGAUAAGUAAUGUGAAUUGCAGAAUUCAGUGAAUCAUCGAAUCUUUGAACGCACCUUGCGCUCCUUGGUAUUCCAAAGAGCAUGCCUGUUUGAGUAUCAUUAAAUUAUCAACUGUACCAAUUUGGUUGCAGAUUGGAUGUGGGAGAUUUUGCAGGCUUUUGAUUUCUCUUUGAGAAAACGGUCAGCUCUCCUGAAAUAUAUUAGCAGUGCCUUUGUUGGUUCAUUAGGUUUGAUAAUUUAUCUACAUCUUCACAUGGUACCUUCAUUUGUGUAAAGGUCAUAUUGCUUCUAAUUGUCUUUGGACAUAAAAAAAAAAAAACAUAUAAUUGUAUGGAAAACUUGAUCUCAAAUCAGGCAGGACUACCCGCUGAACUUAAGCAUAUCAAUAAGCGGAGGA
rnacentral:misc_RNA from 1 species